rnacentral:rRNA from 1 species
UACGAAGGGGACUAGCGUUGCUCGGAAUCACUGGGCGUAAAGGGUGCGUAGGCGGAUUUCUAAGUCAGGGGUGAAAGCCUGAGGCUCAACCUCAGAACUGCCUUUGAUACUGGAAGUCUUGAGACCGGAAGAGGUAAGUGGAACUGCGAGUGUAGAGGUGAAAUUCGUAGAUAUUCGCAAGAACACCAGUGGCGAAGGCGGCUUACUGGUCCGGUUCUGACGCUGAGGCACGAAAGCGUGGGGAGCAAACAGG